rnacentral:misc_RNA from 1 species
GAUGAAGAACGCAGCGAAAUGCGAUAAGUAAUGUGAAUUGCAGAAUUCAGUGAAUCAUCGAAUCUUUGAACGCACAUUGCGCCCGCCAGUAUUCUGGCGGGCAUGCCUGUUCGAGCGUCAUUUCAACCCUCAGGCCCCGCCUGGCGUUGGGGAUCGGCGCGGCCCUCUCCGGGCUGCCGGCCCCGAAAACUAGUGGCGGUCUCGCUGUAGUCCUCCUCUGCGCAGUAGCAACGCUCGCACUGGAACUCGGCGCGGCCACGCCGUAAAACACCCCACUUCUGAAAGUUGACCUCGGAUCAGGUAGGAAUACCCGCUGAACUUAAGCAUAUCAAUAACGGAGGA